CCCCAUCGAGUAAAGUGCUACAUAGCAUGGUAAUCAUAUCCCAGUCAGACCCUUACUGAAGGUUCCUAACCUCACCUGUUCCAGGGCUGCUGGAUGCCGACUGACCCAGUUCUGUGACACCAAGCUUUCUCCAUUUGUAUGUUAAUUUGGGUAUGAAGGUCUCUCUUUUUUUUUUUUUUUAAGAACCAUGCUAUUGUCAAUAGCUCAUCACUUGUCACCCACGGCGACCAAAGCAUAUAUCAUGGUAAACCACAAGCAGUCAGCACCACUGAAAGAUCACACCUUAACCACCAAGAUUGCUCCUCACUAACAGACCCACUAGGUAUCCCAUCAAACCUUUUGAUUGUCACAUGUCCCUUCUUUCUCUCUAAUUAUUGGCCCCCACAUUGUGUCCUUGGUCUGUUGGAGCUCUUAGAGGAAUAGCACCUUCUUACAUUGAUUCUUCAUCAAGACCUAUAUUCUGAUAGGUUUAUGUAAUUUUAUUUUGUUAAUGCAGUUCUUGCUCCAGUGCUAAACUGCACAUGUUGCUGGUGAGUCACUGGAAGCUCAGCCUAGCUGCACUUUUACCUAAGUCGGUUCCUGGACAGUUAUACGCAUGUGCCUUGCUUUAUAAAUUUGACAUAUUUCAAAUUACAUUUCAAUAAAUGUAAAUGCUAAGGAAAUGUGUAUGUGUUCCUGACCCUAACCAAGACAAGCAGUUAAACCAGCGGUAGACAUCCCUGUUCCGGGAGUCUCAGGAUCCAGCGUGUCUUCUAUCCUGCCUGGGCCCGUGUUCACAAAGCAUUUUAUCUUACCCCUAAGCGUACUCCUAAAUCACACUAAAAGUUUUUAAGUAAGAUUUUCUUUCCUAAAACCUAUUCACAAAGUGGCCGAGGGGAACCUUUAUUGGGAAAAGAGCCAACUCCUAAGCUACGAGUGAAACACCGUCGCUAUGGCUGACAUUAGAUUUCAUGCACGAGCUUGUCUGCAGUAACCACGGGGAUUGGAGGAUGAGAGGCCAGUAUGCAGUGAUGAAGAUGCAUGUGCAGGAUCCUAUAAACACAAAUACAGUGGAAACCACUUACAGUGAUCAUGGUUACAGGGUAAAGAAUCAUUCCUGAACAAAUACUAGCAAGUCAGGAGCUACUUUUAUCCUUAAGAUGCUUGUGAAUACGGACCCUGGUCUCUGAUGAACCACACCUGAUCUUCAGCAGAUAGUAACUCAUCAGUGACAUGAGUGAAACUUCAAAGCACGUGAAAAACCAGGCCAAAUCAUAACAAGAGCGAAGAUGACUUUUGCAUGGUGCCUUUGGCAUGAGUCAGCUGUGACCGAUUCAGACCUGAGCGGCGAGCAGGUGGCGUUUGCUGUGUUUCUUACAGCGAUCCCCGGUGAUCUAACCCAGGUGCUUUGUUUGUUGUGCACUAACCUGGGUCCUGUUGGAGCCUGUUGGAGUUGCUGGCCUACAGAAACACUAAUGGCCAUGCAGCAGAAAAGCUGGAAUCGUUCUUCAGGCGUCUAUAAAACAGGAUUAUUAUAUUGUUCAGGUUAACCUUCUUUGUUUACAGGUUUUCCUUUACGGCUAUAUCCUGCCGCACUUGAACAUUGCUUUGGGAAAAAGCACCUAAAGUAGAUCUACCCAUCUAUCUUCUGUGACUUUUAGGUUGGUGUGGGGUCCGGAGCCUAUCCCGGAGGCUAUGGGUGCAAGGCGGGGAACAACCCAUGAUGGGGGUUGGGGGGGGGAGUGCAAUUAGCAUAAUUUUAAACACUGCCUUGCUGUCCCAUCCUGCUUUCCUGGUUCCUAUUGCUCAACUGAUUAGACUGGCUGGCACCUGGCAGAAGCGGGAGACAUGCCCACACUGCCACACCACACCAGUGACAUGCCCUUGGGUGUUAUCACUGGCAUAUUGAUGAAUUUGCCCCACCCUCACAUCAGGGACAAAUAAAACUUUUGAUUGCUGUGUAGUUUCAGAGUUGCUUUGGUCAGGAUGUUUUCCAACCUAUGUGGACAGACACCAUCUGUUUGCUGUUUGUGAUCAUUGCCUCUGUACCCCCCCCC